GCGGCUAUAGUUCAGUGGCAGAACGCCGGUCUGUGGCACCGGAUGUCGUGGGUUCGACCCCCACUAGCCGCCCCA
rnacentral:tRNA from 1 species